GCCUGGGUGGCUCAGUGGGUUGAGCAUCUGACUUUGGCUCAGGUCAUGAUGUCACAGUUUAUGAGUUCAAGCCCCUCAUCAGGCU
rnacentral:tRNA from 1 species